AUAAGCUUCUGCAAUGUCACAUGAUUUAUUUCCGUCCAGUGUUGCAUUAAUUUUUCACCAAGAUCUUGUAUUGAUGAUGGGAGAGUCGGACCACUACGCAAAGCCUUCACCAGCACAUCCCAAAGAUUCUCAAUGCGGUUAAGGUCUGGACUCUGUGGUGGCCAAUCCAAUUGUAAAAAUUAUGUCUCAUGCUCCCUGAAUCUUUCAUUCACAAUUUGAGCCCGAUGAAUCCUGGAAUUGUCAUCUUGGAAUAUUCCCAUACCAUCAGGGAAGAAAAAAAUCCAUUAAUGGAAUAACCUGAUCAUUCAGUAUAUUCAGAUAGUCAGCUGACCUCAUUCUUUGGGAACAUAAUGUUGCUGAACCUAGACUUGACCAAGCAGCAACCCCAGAUCAUAGCACUGCCCCCACAGGCUUGAACAGUAGGCACUAGGCAUGAUGGGUGCAUCACUUCAUCUGCCUCUCUUCUUACCCUGAUGCGCCCCCAUGACUCUGGAACAGGAGCCGGACGAAACCGGAAGUGGUAAUAUCCAGCGAUUAGCCGCGAGACGGUAUGAACACGCAGCCAUCUUGGGAAGGUCAGCGGUACCUCCAUAGGAAGUAACCACACGGCGGACAUCUUGGUAGAGGCGAAAACACCAAAAUUACAGCCGGAAACACUCCUUAUAUGGUGAAUGGGAUGGAAUAUCAACACACAGCUGUUAAUGUUUGUGAUUUAUUGGUAUUAGACAUUGAUGCCAUAUAUAAGAACGUUAUUGUACAUGCUACAAGAUAUGCACCUGAGGAAG